GGCAGCGCCGGGUAGCCAUGGCCGGUUUGGAUAAGCGCUGAAAGCAUCUAAGUGCGAAGCCAACUCCAAGAUAAGGUCUCCCACCGGGUUAACCGGGUAAGGGCCCUGGUAGACAACCAGGUUGAUAGGCCGCAGGUGUAAGAGGAGCAAUCCUUUGAGCUGAGCGGUACUAAUAGCCCGAGGGCUUGUUCACCUAUAACUCACUCU
rnacentral:rRNA from 1 species